AAAAAAAAAAAAAAAGUUCUAACAUGUGAGUCAAGAUGAGCUCUCUUUGAGUUAUCUGUUGGGGAAAGAUCCUCAACAUCAGGAAAUUGACAGAUGUUUAAUCACUUAUGCUGUGUACCUUAUAAAUAUGAUAUGAACAGAACAGAGACAUUUCAGCCCCAUAGUUGUUUUCUUCCGAGUUGUUAUUCAUUUCAGCUGGAAUAGGCUAGACCGUUCUGUGGUAACAAACUACCCCAAAGUCUUGGCAGUUUACAAAAACCAAGAUUUAUUUUUCAAUUAUGCAACACGCUCAGUGAGUAUCAGCAGGUGGUUCUACUCUAUGUCAUUAGCUAGCGGGACCCGCACUGAUGGAGGAGUCUCCUUUAAUACUGGCGUCCAUUAUGACACAGGCGAAGACAAAGGUAGACCUCAGUCAUAGAACAAACGAUGACUUAAGCUUCUGUCUGUCUAUCAGACACAUCACUUCCAUUCCUAUGGCCAUUUCGGUGGUAGAGCAAGUCAAUCCAAAUCUGACUUUAGUGCCUUGGAGAAGAUCUCUUUUAAAAUCAGCCUGGAAACAGUGUUUAUACAGAUCAGCCUCACUAGUUCUAAAGCUGGGGUCUCAUCAUUGGGAUGUGUUGGCUGACCUUAGGAGCAUAUUUCAACCAGAGGCUUCUUAGGAAGUUGGCUUAGCAGAGCUUGAACGGAUGACCCAUUUGGGGACUCCCACCACCCACAGAACUGUAGAUUUUCCUGCUUGAGGUUUUCACACUUAGGCAAGAAAGGAGUACACCCUUCCUAAAAGGACCGGCUCUCCCUCCUGCUCUGUCAGCCACUGGUUUCCUCCAGCAAGUUACUAAAACUAGGUACGAGGAGCUGAGGUGUCACUACACAGCACGUCCACAGAAUCUGUGCUUAUGACAGUGCCCCAGUAAUUCCUGAUCCUUGCCUCACUCCCUGACGGAGACCCAGCUUUUAUUUCAGCAACAAUAAUCAACAAUAAUGGGUUGUCCUGGACCCCUGACUUCACCUGAAGAUGUCUGUGUGUUGGAUCUGCCUCCUAUAUGGGGCAGUUGGUUCAAGACUUAGAGAAAUGUCUACAGACACUCUCAUUCCAGAAUGAUGGGACCCAACCAGGGGAAAUGGCCAGAAGCAACCACAGCUUCAGGCUUGGCAAAGUGGGCUAAAAUGUGAAGGUAAGUGUUUGAGACUCCCGUUUCCUGGGACCAUGUCUCUGCCUCAUCCUACAAGUCUCGGCCUCCUUUUACCACUUUGGCCCUAACACUGUGAAGCCUUCUGCCCACUGGCAGUGCUUCCCCUGCCAUAUGCUGAUUACUAAUGCCAGUAAAAUACCUACGUACUUUGGCAGUAACGUAUGCAGAUACGUAUGUUUCUAAUUACAGGGAAAUUGUUAGAACAUGACUUGGCUUCAAGAUACCCAGUUAUUAAUCCAGGAAGAAAUAAUGCUUUGUUUCCUAACAGAAGAAAAUAAGAACUUCAUUUUAAUCAUUUUUCCCCCUUUCUCUUCUCUUUUUGUUUGUUUGAUACACAUACACGCGCAAUGUCCUACGCUGGCAAUACGAGACGUUCUCGCACACAGUGUGGCCAUUUCUUCUCAGACAUCGGACAUACUACAUCUGUUACCUGCUUAACCAUCCAUCCACUCCUUUGCUACAGCUGCAUAUCCAGGAUUCUGGGUCCUGUCAUUGUUCUUUAUGGAUACCAUGUAUGGUUUUCAAGAAUAAGUGUAAACUCAUUAAAGUUCUUAUUUUACAAUAUG